GCCGGAGUAGCUCAGGGGUAGAGCAACGCAUUCGUAAUGCGUGGGUCGUCGGUUCAAAUCCGACCUUCGGCUCCA
rnacentral:tRNA from 1 species